rnacentral:tRNA from 1 species
CAGGAUAUAGCUCAGUUGGUAGUAUUUGCCUUACAUGCAAAAGGCUCUGGAUUCAAUCCCCAGCAUCAUAA